rnacentral:rRNA from 1 species
UGGGGAAUAUUGCACAAUGGGCGCAAGCCUGAUGCAGCCAUGCCGCGUGUGUGAAGAAGGCCUUCGGGUUGUAAAGCACUUUCAGCGAGGAGGAAAGGUGGUGAGCUUAAUACGCUCAUCAAUUGACGUUACUCGCAGAAGAAGCACCGGCUAACUCCGUGCCAGCAGCCGCGGUAAUACGGAGGGUGCAAGCGUUAAUCGGAAUUACUGGGCGUAAAGCGCACGCAGGCGGUUUGUUAAGUCAGAUGUGAAAUCCCCGGGCUCAACCUGGGAACUGCAUUUGAAACUGGCAAGCUAGAGUCUCGUAGAGGGGGGUAGAAUUCCAGGUGUAGCGGUGAAAUGCGUAGAGAUCUGGAGGAAUACCGGUGGCGAAGGCGGCCCCCCUGGACGAAGACUGACGCUCAGGUGCG